GCCGCCGUAGCUCAGCUCGGCUAGAGCGCCGGACUCAUACGGGUUGUAAACCGUGGUCGCGAAGCCCAGGGGAGAUCCGGUUGCCCCGGGUUCAAAUCCCGGCGGCGGCA
rnacentral:tRNA from 1 species